rnacentral:rRNA from 1 species
GAUGAACGCUGGCGGCGUGCCUAAUACAUGCAAGUCGAGCGAACAGACGAGGAGCUUGCUCCUCUGACGUUAGCGGCGGACGGGUGAGUAACACGUGGAUAACCUACCUAUAAGACUGGGAUAACUUCGGGAAACCGGAGCUAAUACCGGAUAAUAUAUUGAACCGCAUGGUUCAAUAGUGAAAGACGGUUUUGCGGUCACUUAUAGAUGGAUCCGCGCCGCAUUAGCUAGUUGGUAAGGUAACGGCUUACCAAGGCAAGGAUGCGUAGCCGACCUGAGAGGGUGGUCGGCCACCCUGGAACUGAGCCGCGCUCCAUAGGCCUACGGGAGGCAGCAGUCGGGAAUCUUCCGCAAUGGGCGAAAGCCUGACGGAGCAACGCGGAGUGAGUGAUGAAGGUCUUCGGAUCGUAAAACUCUGUUAUUAGGGAAGAACAAAUGUGUAAGUAAAUAUGCCGGUCUUGACGGUACCUAAUCAGAAAGCAACGGCUAACUACGUG